rnacentral:rRNA from 1 species
GACGAAGGGGGCUAGCGUUGCUCGGAAUCACUGGGCGUAAAGCGCACGUAGGCGGAUUCUUAAGUCAGGGGUGAAAUCCUGGAGCUCAACUCCAGAACUGCCUUUGAUACUGGGAGUCUCGAGUCCGGGAGAGGUGAGUGGAACUGCGAGUGUAGAGGUGAAAUUCGUAGAUAUUCGCAAGAACACCAGUGGCGAAGGCGGCUCACUGGCCCGGUACUGACGCUGAGGUGCGAAAGCGUGGGGAGCAAACAGG